CCUACGGGCGGCAGCAGUGAGGAAUAUUGGUCAAUGGGCGCAAGCCUGAACCAGCCAAGUCGCGUGAGGGAUGACGGUCCUAUGGAUUGUAAACCUCUUUUGUCGGGGAGCAAGGCCCGCCACGUGUGGCGGGAAGGAGAGUACCCGCAGAAAAAGCAUCGGCUAACUCCGUGCCAGCAGACGCGGUAAUACGGAGGAUGCGAGCGGUAUCCGGAUUUAUUGGGUUUAAGGGGUGCGUAGGCGGAAGGUUAAGUCAGCGGUCAAAUGGCGGUGCUCAACACCGGCCUGCCGUUGAAACUGGUCGUCUUGAGUGAGCGAGAAGUAGGCGGAAUGCGUGGUGUAGCGGUGAAAUGCAUAGAUAUCACGCAGAACUCCGAUUGCGAAGGCAGCAUACCGGCGCGCAACUGACGCUGAGGCACGAAAGCGUGGGGAUCGAACAGGAUUAGAUACCCGAGUAGUC
rnacentral:rRNA from 1 species